rnacentral:tRNA from 1 species
GGCGUAGCUGGCCCACGGUGCGCCCACGCUCGCCUUCCAGGCGUGCACGCGGCAGGCCGCUUUCGCGCAUGGCCCGUUCGAUCAGGCCAUCGCCC